rnacentral:misc_RNA from 1 species
GAAUCGCGAUAGGUAAUGUGAAUUGCAGAUUUUCCGUGAAUCAUCGAAUCUUUGAACGCACCUUGCGCUCCUUGGUAUUCCGAGGAGCAUGCCUGUUUGAGUGUCAUCGAAACAUCAGAUCGAAGCUUUCGACCUCGUCGGAGCUCGGUUUGGACCUGUGGGAGUCUGCGGGCGAACCUCCCGUCGGGGGGGACGGCGGCUCUCCUCAAAAGCAUUAGUGUUGGGUGCGAGCCUCGCGUGGCACGGCCUCUUCGACGUCAUAAUGACCGUCGUGGGCUGGAAGUGCGUGGAUCGUAGAUGCCCGUCGCUCUCCAACUCUGCGAGCCCGGUCCGUCCGGCCGCGUGUUAUCGAAGCUUGACCUCAAAUCAGGUAGGACUACCCGCUGAACUUAA